rnacentral:rRNA from 1 species
GCUUGUCUCAAAGAUUAAGCCAUGCAUGUUCAAGUAUAGCAAGUGUACAGUGAAACUGCGAAUGGCUCAUUAAAUCAGUUAUAAUUUAUUUGAUAGUGAAAUUGUACAUGGAUAACCGUGGCAAUUCUAGGGCUAAUACAUGCGUCAAUGGUCGGUCGACCAGUAUUUAUUAGAUACAAAGCCAGCCGUCAGGAUCAGGUGAUUCAUAAUAACUUUCGGAUCGUUUACGAUGCAUCAUUCAAGUUUCUGCCCUAUCAGCUUUGGAUGGUAGGGUAUUGGCCUACCAUGGCUUUAACGGGUAACGGAGAAUUAGGGUUCGAUUCCGGAGAGGGAGCCUGAGAAAUGGCUACCACAUCCAAGGAAGGCAGCAGG